UGUGUUUUCUUCUAAAAGUUUCAUAGUCUUUGCUGUUACUUUUAGGUCUUUGAUGUGUUUUGAGUUAAUUUCUGUAUACACAAAAUACAAUAAGUAAGGUAAGAGCCCGGCUGCAUUCUUUGGCAUGUGAAUGCCCAGUUUCCCCAGCACCAUUUGUCGAAGAGACUGUCCUUUUCGCAUCGAAUAGUCCUGUCGCCCUUGUUGAAGAGCCGUUGGCCACCGGCUCAAGGGUUUGAUUUCUGGGCUCUAUUCUGUUCCAUCGGCCGAUAUGUGUGCCUUCCUGCUGGGACCACACUGUUUUGAUUAUUGUAGCUCUCUAAUAAGUUUUGAGAUCAGGCAGUGUAAGACCCGUAACUUUAUUCUUCUCUUCCCAAAGUUGUUGAAACAAAACUCAGACAACCUGGCAGGACAGACCAAAAGAUAAAAGAAGGUGCAAACAACGUCUUGACUGAAAAGGGGGUCCCCAGGGGUUUCCUGUCGAGCAGCCCGUGGCCGGGGAUUGUGCGUGGGGAAGCAAGGGUGGGCGUGCGCUCCCGUGAUGGGGGUCCUGGUGGGUUGUCUUCUGCCCGCGGGAGCCGCCGUCGCUCCCGGGCCCCCCACGCCGGAUGUGCCCUCGUCACCUUGACUGUGGCCCGGGAGACAGCCCCCGCCCCGUGGUGUCUGGGCGUGCGGCUCCCCUAACCCUCUCCCACCUCCGUGGUGAACUUCUUCCCAAGCGUUUCGUGGGACCUUGCACGCACAGCCCGCCCUGCCUGCUGUGUGCCCUUGGAGACUCUCUGGGGUAUUGGUCCCCCGGGUAUGAUCCCAGGUGCUGUCUGGACAUCUUGGGGCCUCACAGGGUCUAACUGUGAGUUCCCGGGACCGCCCCCGACCCAGCAGGAAAGGCCCCCCCUCCCCCGCCUGGCUCCCCUGCCAGCUGGCCCCGCUGCACCCCAGCCCCCUGGACCUCAGUCUCGGUGUCACCUUCCUGCCAGCCUGAAAAAUCACUCAACAAACCCAUCGUCACCCUACCUUCUCACUACGGAACCUGCCCCCCCGGCUCCUGCUUGUCUACCCUGCCCCUGGUGCAGCCAGCGCGGCCCCUCAGGGCGGGCGGUGUGCCCUCCCCAGCGGUAAGUGUGGGUUGCCAACCUCAGCUGCCCUGUGUCCCGUUUGGCCCUGUCCUGCUUUUAGGGCAGGGAUCCCUCCUUCACCCGCGGGUGAAUAGGAGGUGAUCGGAGCACAGUGAUGGCAGGUACUCUUUCUCCUUUUCCCGUGUCGUAUGGGUCUAUCCGUGUACCUUAAUCAUGUAUUCUCUGGGGAGCCUGGGGGGCUCAGUCAGAUGAGCGUCCGGCUCUUGAUUUCGGCUCAGGUCGUGAUCUCACGGUUCAUGGGAUCGAGGCCCAUGUCAGUCUCUGUGCUGACAGCUCAGAGCCUGCUUGGGAUUUCUUCUCUCUCCCUUUCUCUCUCUCUC